UUCCAGACUCCUACGGGAGGCAGCAGUGGGGGAUAUUGCACAAUGGAGGAAACCCUGAUGCAGCGACGCCGCGUGUGGGAAGACGGUCCUCUGGAUUGUAAACCACUGUCCUCAGGGACGAAGAUGACGGUACCUGGGGAGGAAGCUCCGGCUAACUACGUGCCAGCAGCCGCGGUAAUACGGAGGAUGCGAGCGUUAUUCGGAUUUAUUGGGUUUAAAGGGUGCGUAGGCGGACUGGAAAGUCAGCGGUAAAAUCGAGAGGCUCAACCUCUUUCCGCCGUUGAAACUGUCGGUCUUGAGUGGGCGAGAAGUAUGCGGAAUGCGUGGUGUAGCGGUGAAAUGCAUAGAUAUCACGCAGAACUCCGAUUGCGAAGGCAGCAUACCGGCGCCCGACUGACGCUGAGGCACGAAAGCGUGGGUAUCGAACCGGAUUAGAUACCCCCGUACG
rnacentral:rRNA from 1 species